GAAUCUUGCACAAUGGGCGAAAGCCUGAUGCAGCAACGCCGCGUGAGUGAAGAAGGCCCUUGGGUCGUAAAGCUCUUUAGGCUGGGAAGAGGGGACUUGUGGUUAAUACCUACAGGUUUUGACGGUACCAGCAGAAUAAGCACUGGCUAAUUCCGUGCCAGCAGCCGCGGUAAUACGGAAGGUGCAAGCGUUGUUCGGAAUGACUGGGCGUAAAGCGCGCGUAGGCGGGAGGGUAAGUCGAUUGUGAAAGCCCCGGGCUCAACCCGGGAACAGCAGUCGAAACUGUCCUUCUUGAAUGCCCAAGAGGUUAGUGGAAUUCCAGGUGUAGGAGUGAAAUCCGUAGAUAUCUGGAGGAACACCAGAGGCGAAGGCGGCUAACUGGUGGUGCAUUGACGCUGAAGUGCGAAAGCGUGGGGAGCAAA
rnacentral:rRNA from 1 species